rnacentral:tRNA from 1 species
GGGGCUCAGCCGGGAGUCGAACCCGGGGCCUCUCGCAGAUUCGCAGACACGAAUGGAUCCGUUACGCCCGAAGCGAGAAUCAUACCACUAGACCACUGAGC